UACGAAGGGUGCAAACGUUGCUCGGAAUUAUUGGGCGUAAAGCGCACGUAGGCGGCAUUGCAAGUCGGAUGUGAAAUCUUAUGGCUUAACCAUAAAAGUGCAUCCGAAACUGCAGUGCUUGAGUACUUAAGAGGAUCGCGGAAUUCCCGGUGUAGAGGUGAAAUUCGUAGAUAUCGGGAGGAACACCUGUGGCGAAGGCGGCUUUCUGGGCCCUACCUGACGCUGAGACGCGAAAGCGUGGGGAGCGAACCGG
rnacentral:rRNA from 1 species